GAUGAACGCUGGCGGCGUGCCUAAUACAUGCAAGUCGAGCGAACGGACGAGAAGCUUGCUUCUCUGAUGUUAGCGGCGGACGGGUGAGUAACACGUGGAUAACCUACCUAUAAGACUGGGAUAACUUCGGGAAACCGGAGCUAAUACCGGAUAAUAUUUUGAACCGCAUGGUUCAAAAGUGAAAGACGGUCUUGCUGUCACUUAUAGAUGGAUCCGCGCUGCAUUAGCUAGUUGGUAAGGUAACGGCUUACCAAGGCAACGAUGCAUAGCCGACCUGGGAGGGUGAUCGGCCACACUGGAACUGAGACACGGUCCAGACUCCUACGGGAGGCAGCAGUAGGGAAUCUUCCGCAAUGGGCGAAAGCCUGACGGAGCAACGCCGCGUGAGUGAUGAAGGUCUUCGGAUCGUAAAACUCUGUUAUUAGGGAAGAACAUAUGUGUAAGUAACUGUGCACAUCUUGACGGUACCUAAUCAGAAAGCCACGGCUAACUACGG
rnacentral:rRNA from 1 species